rnacentral:rRNA from 1 species
UACGUAGGGACCAAGCGUUGUUCGGAUUUACUGGGCGUAAAGGGCGCGUAGGCGGCUUAACAAGUCACUUGUGAAAUCUCCGGGCUUAACUCGGAACGGCCAAGUGAAACUGUCAAGCUAGAGUGCAGAAGGGGCAGUCGGAAUUCUUGGUGUAGCGGUGAAAUGCGUAGAUAUCAAGAGGAACACCUGAGGUGAAGACGGGUUGCUGGGCUGACACUGACGCUGAGGCGCGAAAGCCAGGGGAGCAAACGGG